ACAUUUGGGGUUAAGAGUUUUCUAAUCUGCUUCAAUAAAUUCUGAAUGAUGACUGAUAUGCUGCAUGAAACUUGAACUUGGAGCUUGGCAAAUAUAAGUGCAUUGCUUAGACUUCAUGCAGCCUGAAUAUUGAGGCCGUCCGAGGAAACCUCUGUAACGGUAGAGGUAACGUUCGUAGAGAACGUCAUCAGGUAAAUCAAACGGGUUUGAACGAUCAUGAAUAUAACGCUCUUGGCGAAGCGCUCCUCUCACUAUCCGUGCAACGAUGUCCCCGGGAUCCGGCAAAAGUGGGCAAGCCAUUUUCCAAGAGAUCCGAUUGGUCAUUGGGCGGUCUUUUAUACCUGCUGAGCUCUUAUCCUGAAACAUAACCUGCUCUGGAGCAGGUUUGGCGUUCUGCGUAAGUUACCGGGGCAACGGACCAGGAUAAAAAGGGAUCAACCUUCGUAGUACAGAAAACCCAGAAGUUAUCCAGAAGUUAUCUCGCUAAGACCAAAUCCAGCUUCGUAGUACAGGCCUCAGAAAAACAAAGAAAAACAGGAAGUCCAACCAAAAUAAAACAUGAGGAGGAGGCGUCUCACCACAAAAUGUCCAUCUUUGGGCUCUUUGGUUAGGGUUAGGGUUAGGAUUGCGGGAAUAGGGGGCCUGUCUCCUAGAAUAGGAGACAGGAGGUGCUCGGUCCAUCCCCCAGAAGUUCCCCGUCCCCCAUGACCCCUUCUGGUACUCUGGAUUGUUGUUACGGUACUGGGGGCGACCACCUCUCCUUCUGUACCGAACCUCAGUCCAUUGUUGUUCAUCGUAAAUCAUGAUUGUUUUUAUCUUUUUUAAAGUAUUUAUUCCAAAUUUUAAAUGUAAGGUAUUUAUUAAACUAUCUAUCUAUCUAUCUAUCUAUCUAUCUAUCUACUCAAAUCAAGAUAUUUAAAACAAAAGCCGUAUUUAAAAAAUAAAAAAAUAAUUGAAUUGUUCUUUAAUUUUUUAUGCUUUUUUUGUUUUUUUUUCUGAAAUAAAAAUGACAUAAAAGUAAAAAAAACUAAAUAAAAUGUCUAUUAAAGUGAAGAAAUAAAGAAAAGGUGUGAGAAAAAGUGCCCAGUCGUGACGUUUCGACCGCUGUGGGUCUUCUUCAGGCUCUAGGCACAGUGAAAGUAAAUGUCUGGGCUUGUUUGAUGCAGCUUGUGAGAUGUUCUCCCUUCAGCAGACGUAGCCAGAAUGAGAGGAGCCGAGGUUUGUGUGAGUGUUCUAUUUAUAGAGGCGGGGAGAGCAAAGAAUGCAGCUGCACUCUGAUAAGUCAGGGAGAGGCUCCGGCAGUCUGUAUGUGUUUUAACCCCAUAAAUGCCCACUGAAAUUAAAUUAAAUGAAUGUCAAUGUCCAAUUAGAAUUUUUUACCCUCUUUUUAGCUGAUUAAUUUAUUGAAUCGUAAUUUUAAUGCCCAAUUUAAACUUUUGUAUUUUGAUCCCAGGAUUGCAAUUAGAAUUUUAUGAAUUUAAAUUUUACAGAUAGUUUAAAUAAAUUUAGCCCUUAAUUCCCUUUUUAAAUUUAAUAUGAAAUAUACGUUUUUAAUACUUUUGGAUUAAAUGUGAGAUUUUUACUAUUUUAAGCAUGCUAUGAAAUUUAAUACUUAAUAAUGAAUGAAAAAUAAAUUAAUAGUUUUUAAAGGGUUAGGGUUAUGAUAUAGGGGAUUGGGUUAGGGGUAGGGGUAGGGGUUAGGGUUAGGGUUAGGGGGUUUUGGGGUGAGGGUUAGGGUUAGGUAUAGGGGGUUUGGAGGAGACCCACCCCCUUGGUAACAUUUGAACGGAAGGUCGUAGAGCGCUGAAACUUGCACUUUGGGGGGGUGGAAGAUUUUUCUGAGUCCAAUGAGCCAACUCCCGAGUCUCUAGGACGUUCCUGAAAAAAGUUGAUUUUUUCCCAUAGGAAUGCAUUGGAGAAAAAUCUCAAGAUUUUUUUAAGUGUGGACCCAAUUUUUCACCUUCCAGAAUUGUGUUAGGAGCACGUUUCAGGCCACGGGGAGUCUGUAGAACCUGAUUCUGGGUGAAGUUUCUGGGGGUUGGAGCUCUGCGGCAGGGAUAUAGGGCUAUGUGCCACUUUUGACAUGCCGGUUCAUUGCCUUUCCCAUCGAUGAACCGGGCUGAGAUUUGGUCUACCCCCCCAUUUUCGGGUAUGCUGAAUCUAGAAAUAGUAAUGAACCAGCGAUCGGACAUUCCUAUCAAAAGUUAUGGCGAAAUGGAAAUUUCCCAUUGAAAAUGAAUGGGAGCGGAAAAUGGCCAAAGUCAGUGUUUGCAAGUGUUCUACUUUGUCUGGAAAUGUUGAAAAUGGGUUGUGAGCACGUUUCAGGCCAUUUCCUGUCGUUUGAGGGUUAGCUUCUCGGAGUGCUCCUGUGUUAGAGGGAGACGGGAGUCAUUCCCCAAUCCUAACCCUAAGUUUCGACCCGACUUGGGUCUUCUUCAGGUCUGUGCACACAUAAGAAAGGGCUGCUGGGCACCAAUUCAUAGGUGUUGACAGCAGCUAAAAAAAGAAGAAAUGUCCCUGUUCCCUUCUCACCUUUUAUACCUUUUAACAAAUAAUUAACUGAAUUUCUCGGAUAUUUUAUGUUAUUUUCUACUCUAUUUAAUUUGAAAAUGUUAACCCUUUAACUGCUGAUUCUUAUUAAUCCAAAAUAAUAUGUUUAUGUUUAACCUGAGGUUAGGCUUAAGGCAGCAUUUCUCAAAGUGUGUGGCCCGCCCCCCCAGGGGGGUGCGGAGCCAUCUUUGAGAAGCUAACAAGUGGAGGGGAUGCAGGGGGUGCAUCUACGGCAUAACACCUGUUAAGUAUGCUGCUAUCCCCACCUGUACAAUGUCCUCCUGAAAGUGUACAAAGACGCUUUCUGCUGUGCUAAUUCAUGGUGGGAAGUAGCUCAGAAACCAGGGCGUAGAUAACCACCAACGCCGUGCUAUGCCUCUCACAUUUUUAAAAGUGGUUUCCGUAACUUUAACCCUUAGACAGAAACCAGGGUCAUUUCUCUAAAAAAUUUAAAUUCAAAAUUAAAGAUUGGAAUCUUUUAUAAACGUAUUAUUUGAAGAUAAUAUCUCAAAGCUCGUAAUUUGGAAUCUUUCUUACAACUAACAUUUGAAAUGUGUGCCCCAAAAUCUAAAAUUGAUCCAACCCCAACCCUACGUUUCAACCUAAUCUAAACCCUAGGUCUGGCCUUUACCCUGUGUCUAACCCUAACUCUAGUUCUUACCCCAACAGUAGGUCUAACCCUAACCCUAACAAAAGUUAUAGCCCUAAUCCUAACCCUGGGUUUAACCCUAACCCUAGCCCUAACUCGAACCCUAGGUGUAACCCUAACCCAGCUCUAAUAUUAACCCUAACCCUAACCGUAGUGUUUGAAACUACUAUCUAAGGUUGUUAUUGAAAAUAUGUUUAACCACUGACAUUUAAAAUUUCAGACCCAAAGUCUGAAGUUCUAAAACUAUCUGACACUCACCCUAGUUCUUAAAAAACCCCAAGGUCUGGUCAUUACACUAACCUUGGGUUUAAUUAUAAUCCUAACCCAGUGUGUAACCCAAAGCCUAACCCUAGACCUAAACCAAACCCAGCCCUAACCCUAACCCCAAACCCUAAACCCUAACCCCUAGCACUUGCACUCACCCUAGACCUAAACCAAACACUAAUCCUAACCCUAACCCUAGCCCUAAACCAAACCCUAACCCUAGGCCAAACCCUAACCCUAACCCUAAACCCUAACCCUAACCCUAGACCUAAACUAAACCCUAACCCCUAACCCUAACCCUAGACCUAAACCAAACCCUAACCCUAACCCUAACCCCUAACCCUAGACCUAACCCUAACCCUAGGCCUAACCCUAAUCCCAACCCUGACCCCUAACCCCAGCCCUAACCCUAACCCCAAACCCUAAACCCUAACCCCUAGCACUUACACUCACCCUAGACCUAAACCAAACCCUAAUCCUAACCCUAACCCUAGUCCUAAACCAAACCCUAACCCUAGACCUAACCCUAGGCCUAACCCUAACCCUAACCCCUAACCCUAACCCUAACCCCUAACCCUAACCCUAGACCUAACCCUAACCCUAACCCUAGACCUAAACCAAACCCUAACCCUAACCCCAACCCCAACCCUAACCCUAGGCCUAACCCUAACCCUAGACCUAACCCUAACCCUAGGCCUAACCCUAACCCUAACCCUAGACCUAAACCUAACCCUAACCCUAAACCCAACCCUGACCCCUAACCCUAGACCUAACCAUAACCCUAAUCCUAACCCUAA